GCUGGGCAUGGUGGCGGAUGCCUGUAAUCCCAGCUACUCGGGAGGCUGAGGCAGGAUAAUCGCUUGAACCCAGGAGGCAGAGGUUGCAGUGAGCCAAGGUCGUACCACUGCACUCCAGCCUGGGCAACAGAGUGAGACUCUGUCUCAA
rnacentral:SRP_RNA from 1 species